ensembl:lncRNA
CGGGAAAUUAAGGACAAAACUGGAGUUCAUCCGGAGGGCAAGCGAGGAAGACCACUGGAUGAAGAAAAAGACUGUUGGUUGGACUGUCGUGACGCUAAAAGGACGCCAAGCAGUAGAAGAGACCAUGGAAUAGAAGACUGGGAACUUCAUAAAUCACUGUCUGAGGUCGGUGUUUGUGGACGGCCGGCUGACCCAGGGAGGUCAGGUUUAUCUCCCCCUGGGUCAGUGCGAGCAAAACAGCUGCUACGGAUCACUGUCUCACACAGAACAACGACGGGAGUAGGCGGAAGGAAUGCGGAGCUGCGAUAGAGACCGCUGUGCCAGGUGCCGUGAGACAAGCUGCAAGCAACUCCAAGUUAUGAGAACCGUGCCUUGUCGUACUUAGCAUGUUAUCUGUACCGCUCUGUACAAACGGCUGCGUGCAGUUAUUAAAUGGCUCGACUACUAGGAACCGGAUGGGUAAUUGAGGAAUAUGUGCUAUCUGUGGAAAUAUAACGGACUCUGAAUCGUGUCAUCUUUGAAGCACUUACGAGACCACAGCCGUCUGUAGCCGCAAGAGCUCCGUAGCUGCUUGUGGUCGUGAGGCCGGAGAGCGG